rnacentral:lncRNA from 1 species
GGAAGACAAGUGUUCAGAAAAGGCUUUUCAGAGGAGUCAGAAGAUAUGUGAGUCUCAGAAUUAUGUUUUGGACAAAGUAGUAAAUGUGCAGCAUAAAUAUGUCAGGUAAUGUGCAAGAAAAUCACAAAAAUGCUAAUUACAAAAAAUCAUAUCUACAGCAAUGAUUCCAAAGAAGUAAUCUUUUGGUCAGACAUAAAUAUUUUGACAGGAAUGGCAGUUUUGAUAGUAUUUUUGUGUAGUUUUACUCAUAGUGAAAAACCUUUACCCAUUUAUCCAUCUUACUGGUUGGAAUUAAUUACAAUUUAAAUAUCAGCUAAAAGGCCAUUGAAUGCAGAAAAAUAUCAAUGACAUGUUUAAAUCACUUACAUUAUUUGAUCUUUCCCUUUUUAAACCAAU